ensembl:rRNA 5S_rRNA 5S ribosomal RNA
UGCCACAGCCAUAUCACCCUGCAGCCCAAGACUGGUUUCUCAUUAUAGCUAAGCAGGGCUGAGCCUGGUCAGUACCUAGGUGAGACCACAUGAGAAAACUAGGUUGCUGUUGGAA